rnacentral:misc_RNA from 1 species
GAAAUGCGAUAAGUAAUGUGAAUUGCAGAAUUCAGUGAAUCAUCGAAUCUUUGAACGCACAUUGCGCCCCCUGGUAUUCCGGGGGGCAUGCCUGUUCGAGCGUCAUUUCACCACUCAAGCCUCGCUUGGUAUUGGGCGACGCGGUCCGCCGCGCGCCUCAAAUCGACCGGCUGGGUCUUCCGUCCCCUCAGCGUUGUGGAAACUAUUCGCUAAAGGGUGCCGCGGGAGGUCACGCCGCAAAACAACCCCAUUUCUAAGGUUGACCUCGGAUCAGGUAGGGAUACCAGCUGAACUUAAGC